GAUGAACGCUGGCGGCGUGCCUAAUACAUGCAAGUCGAGCGAACAGACGAGGAGCUUGCUCCCCUGACGUUAGCGGCGGACGGGUGAGUAACACGUGGAUAACCUACCUAUAAGACUGGGGUAAUUUCGGGAAACCGGAGCUAAUACUGGAUAAUAUAUUGAACGGGAUGGAGCAAUAGUGAAAGACGGUUUUGCUGUCACAUAUAGAUGGAUCCGCGCCGGAUUAGCUAGUUGGUAAGGUAACGGCUUACCAAGGCAACGAUGCGUAGCCGACCUGAGAGGGUGAUCGGCCACACUGGAACUGAGACACGGUCCAGACUCCUACGGGAGGCAGCAGUGGGGAAUCUUCGGCAAUGGGCGAAAGCCUGACGGAGCAACGCCGCGUGAGUGAUGAAGGUCUUCGGAUCGUAAAACUCUGUUAUUAGGGAAGAACAAAUGUGUAAGUAACUAUGCCCGUCUUGACGGUACCUAAUCAGAAAGCCACGGCUAACUACGUG
rnacentral:rRNA from 1 species